rnacentral:rRNA from 1 species
UAACACAUGCAAGUCGAGGGGUAUAUUUCUUCGGAGAUAGAGACCGGCGCACGGGUGCGUAACGCGUAUGCAAUCUACCUUUUACAGAGGGAUAGCCCAUAGAAAUUUGGAUUAAUACCUCAUAGUAUAAUGACUCGGCAUCGAGAUAUUAUUAAAGUCACAACGGUAAAAGAUGAGCAUGCGUCCCAUUAGCUAGUUGGUAAGGUAACGGCUUACCAAGGCUACGAUGGGUAGGGGUCCUGAGAGGGAGAUCCCCCACACUGGUACUGAGACACGGACCAGACUNCUACGGGAGGCAGCAGUGAGGAAUAUUGGACAAUGGGCGCAAGCCUGAUCCAUCCAUGCCGCGU